CCUACGGGGGGCUGCAGUGAGGAAUAUUGGUCAAUGGGCGCAAGCCUGAACCAGCCAUCCCGCGUGCAGGAAGACGGCCCUAUGGGUUGUAAACUGCUUUUCCAGGGGGAGAAACUUGCGCACGUGUUGCGCAAUUGACGGUACCCUGGGAAUAAGCAUCGGCUAACUCCGUGCCAGCAGCCGCGGUAAUACGGAGGAUGCGGAUGUUAUCCGGAUAAAGUGGGCGUAGAGGGUGCGUUAACUCAGUGGUGAAAUCCUGCAGCUUAACUGCAGAACUGCCAUUGAUACUGAUAGCCUUGAGUUUGGUUAAGGUAGGCGGAAUGUGUAAUGUAGCGGUGAAAUGCUUAGAUAUUACACAGAACACCAAUUGCGUAGGCAGCUUACUGAGCCGACACUGACGCUGAGGCACGAAAGCGUGGGGAUCGAACAGGAUUAGAUACCCUUGUAGUC
rnacentral:rRNA from 1 species